rnacentral:rRNA from 1 species
UUAAGUUAAUAAGGGCGCACGGUGGAUGCCUUGGCACUAGGAGCCGACGAAGGACGUGACAAACGACGAUAUGCCUUGGGUAGCUGUAAGUAAGCGAUGAUCCAGGGAUUUCCGAAUGGGGGAACCCAACAGGUAGUACCUGUUACCCACAUAUGUUAAGGAUGUGAGGAGGAAGACGCAGUGAACUGAAACAUCUAAGUAGCUGCAGGAAGAGAAAGCAAAAGCGAUUGCCUUAGUAGCGGCGAGCGAAACGGCAGAAGGGCAAACCGAAGAGUUUACUCUUCGGGGUUGUAGGACUGCAAUGUGGACUCAAAGAUUAUAGAAGAAUGAUUUGGGAAGAUCAGCCAAAGAGAGUAAUAGCCUCGUAUUUAAAAUAGUCUUUGUACUUAGCAGUAUCCUGAGUACGGCGGGACACGUGAAAUCCCGUCGGAAUCUGGGAGGACCAUCUCCCAACCCUAAAUACUCCCUAGUGACCGAUAGUGAACCAGUACCGUGAGGGAAAGGUGAAAAGCACCCCGGGAGGGGAGUGAAAUAGAACCUGAAACCGUGUGCCUACAACAAGUUCGAGCCCGUUAAUGGGUGAGAGCGUGCCUUUUGUAGAAUGAACCGGCGAGUUACGUUAUGAUGCGAGGUUAAGUUGAAGAGACGGAGCCGUAGGGAAACCGAGUCUGAAUAGGGCGCCUUAGUAUCAUGACGUAGACCCGAAACCAUGUGACCUACCCAUGAGCAGGUUGAAGGUGCGGUAAGACGCACUGGAGGACCGAACCAGGGCACGUUGAAAAGUGCUUGGAUGACUUGUGGGUAGCGGAGAAAUUCCAAACGAACUUGGAGAUAGCUGGUUCUCUCCGAAAUAGCUUUAGGGCUAGCGUCGACAUUAGAGAUUCUUGGAGGUAGAGCACUGUUUGGGUGAGGGGUCCAUCCCGGAUUACCAAUCUCAGAUAAACUCCGAAUGCCAAUGAAUUAUGGUCGGCAGUCAGACUGCGAGUGCUAAGAUCCGUAGUCGAAAGGGAAACAGCCCAGACCACCAGCUAAGGUCCCAAAAUAAUUGUUAAGUGGAAAAGGAUGUGGGGUUGCACAGACAACUAGGAUGUUAGCUUAGAAGCAGCUAUUCAUUCAAAGAGUGCGUAAUAGCUCACUAGUCGAGUGACCCUGCGCCGAAAAUGUACCGGGGCUAAAACAAUUUACCGAAGCUGUGGAUACCUUUAUAGGUAUGGUAGGAGAGCGUUCUAUGUGUGAUGAAGGUAUACCGUGAGGAGUGCUGGAACGCAUAGAAGUGAGAAUGCCGGUAUGAGUAGCGAAAGACAGGUGAGAAUCCUGUCCACCGUAAGACUAAGGUUUCCAGGGGAAGGCUCGUCCGCCCUGGGUUAGUCGGGACCUAAGGAGAGACCGAAAGGUGUAUCCGAUGGACAACAGGUUGAUAUUCCUGUACUAGAGUAUGUAGUGAUGGAGGGACGCAGUAGGCUAACUAAAGCAGACGAUUGAAGAGUCUGUCUAAGCAGUGAGGUGUGAAUUGAGUCAAAUGCUUAAUUCUAUAACAUUGAGCUGUGAUGGGGAGCGAAGUUUAGUAGCGAAGUUAGUGACGUCACACUGCCAAGAAAAGCUUCUAGCGUUUAAACAUACUCUACCCGUACCGCAAACCGACACAGGUAGUCGAGGCGAGUAGCCUCAGGUGAGCGAGAGAACUCUCGUUAAGGAACUCGGCAAAAUGACCCCGUAACUUCGGGAGAAGGGGUGCUGACUUAAAGUCAGCCGCAGUGAAUAGGCCCAAGCAACUGUUUAUCAAAAACACAGCUCUCUGCUAAAUCGUAAGAUGAUGUAUAGGGGGUGACGCCUGCCCGGUGCUGGAAGGUUAAGAGGAGUGCUUAGCGUAAGCGAAGGUAUGAAUUGAAGCCCCAGUAAACUGCGGCCGUAACUAUAACGGUCCUAAGGUAGCGAAAUUCCUUGUCGGGUAAGGUUCCGACCCGCACGAAAGGCGUAAUGAUUUGGGCACUGUCUCAACGAGAGACUCGGUGAAAUUUUAGUACCUGUGAAGAUGCAGGUUACCCGCGACAGGACGGAAAGACCCCAUGGAGCUUUACUGCAGUUUGAUAUUGAGUGUCUGUACCACAUGUACAGGAUAGGUAGGAGUCUAAGAGAUCGGGACGCCAGUUUCGAAGGAGACGCUGUUGGGAUACUACCCUUGUGUUAUGGCCACUCUAACCCAGAUAGGUGAUCCCUAUCGGAGACAGUGUCUGACGGGCAGUUUGACUGGGGCGGUCGCCUCCUAAAAGGUAACGGAGGCGCCCAAAGGUUCCCUCAGAAUGGUUUGAAAUCAUUCGCAGAGUGUAAAGGUAUAAGGGAGCUUGACUGCGAGAGCUACAACUCGAGCAGGGACGAAAGUCGGGCUUAGUGAUCCGGUGGUUCCGUAUGGAAGGGCCAUCGCUCAACGGAUAAAAGCUACCCUGGGGAUAACAGGCUUAUCUCCCCCAAGAGUUCACAUCGACGGGGAGGUUUGGCCCCUCGAUGUCGGCUCGUCGCAUCCUGGGGCUGUAGUCGGUCCCAAGGGUUGGGCUGUUCGCCCAUUAAAGCGGCACGCGAGCUGGGUUCAGAACGUCGUGAGACAGUUCGGUCCCUAUCCGUCGCGGGCGUAGGAAAUUUGAGAGGAUCUGCUCCUAGUACGAGAGGACCAGAGUGGACUUACCGCUGGUGUACCAGUUGUCUUGCCAAAGGCAUCGCUGGGUAGCUAUGUAGGGAAGGGAUAAACGCUGAAAGCAUCUAAGUGUGAAACCCCCUCAAGAUGAGAUUUCCAAGAUUAUAUAUCAGUAAGAGCCCUGAGAGAUGAUCAGGUAGAUAGGUUAGAAGUGGAAGUGUGGCGACACAUGUAGCGGACUAAUACUAAUAGCUCGAGGACUUAUCCAA